rnacentral:rRNA from 1 species
AUUGAACGCCGGCGGCAGGCUUAACACAUGCAAGUCGAGCGGGGGAAGGUAGCUUGCUACCGGACCUAGCGGCGGACGGGUGAGUAAUGCUUAGGAAUCUGCCUAUUAGUGGGGGACAACAUCUCGAAAGGGAUGCUAAUACCGCAUACGUCCUACGGGAGAAAGCAGGGGAUCUUCGGACCUUGCGCUAAUAGAUGAGCCUAAGUCGGAUUAGCUAGUUGGUGGGGUAAAGGCCUACCAAGGCGACGAUCUGUAGCGGGUCUGAGAGGAUGAUCCGCCGAACUGGGACUGAGACACGGCCCAGACUCCUACGGGAGGCAGCAGUGGGGAAUAUUGGACAAUGGGGGGAACCCUGAUCCAGCCAUGCCGCGUGUGUGAAGAAGGCCUUAUGGUUGUAAAGCACUUUAAGCGAGGAGGAGGCUACUCUAGUUAAUACCUAGGGAUAGUGGACGUUACUCGCAGAAUAAGCACCGGCUAACUCUGUGCCAGCAGCCGCCGUAA